rnacentral:rRNA from 1 species
GAUGAACGCUGGCGGCGUGCCUAAUACAUGCAAGUCGAGCGAACAGACGAGGAGCUUGCUCCUUUGACGUUAGCGGCGGACGGGUGAGUAACACGUGGGUAACCUACCUAUAAGACUGGGAUAACUUCGGGAAACCGGAGCUAAUAACGGAUAAUAUUUCGAACCGCAUGGUUCGAUAGUGAAAGAUGGAUCUGCUAUCACUUAUAGAUUGACCUGCUCCGUAUUAGCUAGUUGGGAAGGUAACGGCUUACCAAGGCAACGAUACGUAGCCGACCGGAGAGGGUGAUCGGCCACACUGGAACUGAGACACGGUCCAGACUCCUACGGGAGGCAGCAGUAGGGGAUCUUCCGCAAUGGGCGAAAGCCUGACGGAGCAACGCCGCGUGAGUGAUGAAGGUCUUCGGAUCGUAAAACUCUGUUAUUAGGGAAGAACAAACGUGUAAGUAUCUGUGCACGUCUUGACGGUACCUAAUCAGAAAGCCACGGCUAACUACGUGCCAGCAGCCGCGGUAA